GAUGAACGCUAGCGGGAGGCCUAACACAUGCAAGCCGAGCGGUAUUUGUUCUUCGGAACAGAGAGAGCGGCGCACGGGUGCGGAACACGUGUGCAACCUGCCUUUAUCUGGGGGAUAGCCUUUCGAAAGGAAGAUUAAUACCCCAUAAUAUAUUGAGUGGCAUCAUUUGAUAUUGAAAACUCCGGUGGAUAGAGAUGGGCACGCGCAAGAUUAGAUAGUUGGUGAGGUAACGGCUCACCAAGUCAAUGAUCUUUAGGGGGCCUGAGAGGGUGAUCCCCCACACUGGUACUGAGACACGGACCAGACUCCUACGGGAGGCAGCAGUGAGGAAUAUUGGACAAUGGGUUAGCGCCUGAUCCAGCCAUCCCGCGUGAAGGACGACGGCCCUAUGGGUUGUAAACUUCUUUUGUAUAGGGGUAAACCUACUCUCGUGAGAGUAGCUGAAGGUACUAUACGAAUAAGCACCGGCUAACUCCGUG
rnacentral:rRNA from 1 species